rnacentral:rRNA from 1 species
AUUGAACGCUGGCGGCAUGCUUUACACAUGCAAGUCGAACGGCAGCGCGGGCUUCGGCCUGGCGGCGAGUGGCGAACGGGUGAGUAAUGCAUCGGAACGUGCCCAGUAGUGGGGGAUAGCCCGGCGAAAGCCGGAUUAAUACCGCAUACGACCUGAGGGGGAAAGCGGGGGACCGAAAGGCCUCGCGCUAUUGGAGCGGCCGAUGUCGGAUUAGCUAGUUGGUGGGGUAAAGGCUUACCAAGGCGACGAUCCGUAGCUGGUCUGAGAGGACGACCAGCCACACUGGGACUGAGACACGGCCCAGACUCCUACGGGAGGCAGCAGUGGGGAAUUUUGGACAAUGGGGGCAACCCUGAUCCAGCCAUGCCGCGUGCGGGAAGAAGGCCUUCGGGUUGUAAACCGCUUUUGUUCGGGAGGAAAUCCUCUGGGCUAAUACCCCGGGGGGAUGACGGUACCGGAAGAAUAAGCACCGGCUAACUACGCG